AUGAAAAUGACACAUGACAUGACAGUAAGAAAAUUCGAUAGCAAAUAUGACGUGGUGUAAAGGAUUAUAGAAUUGUUUAAUAGCUUAAAAUCGUAUUUACAAAUGUAUUUAGCUAAGUAAUCUGUAAUUAUUGUCUUGAUAGUACUAUAUUUUAAUAUAAUCUUCAAAAUGAUUGAUAUAACCGAUACACAAAAGAUUGGAGUCGGAUUAGCCGGCUUCGGAAUUACAUUCCUUUUUCUAGGAGUGUUACUGUUGUUUGAUAAGGGAUUACUAGCAAUUGGGAAUAUUCUCUUUAUAAGUGGUCUGGCGUGCGUCAUAGGGCUCCAAAGGACGUUUUUCUUUUUCUUCCAAAGGCACAAGGUGAAGGCUUCAGUCGCUUUCUUCGGAGGCAUCACUAUUGUGCUCCUAGGAUGGCCGAUGAUCGGAAUGAUCGCUGAGAUCUAUGGGUUCUUACUUCUAUUUAGAGGGUUCCUGCCGGCAGCUAUCAAUUUCCUCAGAAUGAUGCCAGUGCUGGGUUCACUCCUAAAUUUACCAAUAAUACGAGGGAUCGUUGACAGAAUAGCAGGCGACAACGGCCGUAAUAUGGUAUGAUAGUGUUAUCAUACCAAAAAAAGAAAAUAGACUUCAGUGUUACUAUGUUUGUGAAAGUGUGGAUGUUGCCAUGUGCGAAUUUUAAUAUGAACUCGGGACGGCGCAUGAGCGGCAAGCAUCCCAUCGAAUUUACGAAUUUACUUGUCUACAAAAAUAAAUAAAUACGUAUAUUAUA